CCCUUAGAUGUUCUGGGCCGCACGCGCGCUACACUGAUGCAUUCAACGAGCCUAUCCCUGACCGACAGGUCCGGGUAAUCUUUGAAUCUGCAUCGUGACGGGGAUAGAUUAUUGCAAUUAUUAAUCUUCAACGAGGAAUGCCUAGUAGGCGCAAGUCAUCAGCUUGCGUCGAUUACGUCCCUGCCCUUUGUACACACCGCCCGUCGCUCCUACUGAUUGAGUGUCUCGGUGAAUUCGUUGAUCUUCUGUCGAUUCAGUUCACUGAUCCGACGGUGGAAAGUUGAAUGAACUUCGUCACUUAGAGGAAGGAGAAGUCGUAACA
rnacentral:rRNA from 1 species